CUGCAGGUUCAGUGGAGCUGAAGUCGGAAGAAGAAAUCUUGCUCCUGUGUGGUCAUCAAUGAAGAGAAAGCAUAGGGGAAAGAAGUUUGAGAAGAACCAUUCAGAGAACUGUGAUUUCUUUUUGAGGCAGAUCUGAUGUGCCUGGUUUGAAGAAACCAAUUCAUUUCUUGAUGGGAAGAAAAAUCUUGUUUAUUUUUUCACUUAUUUUUUUAUGUAUGGGAUUUUCACUAACUUUGGACCAGAUACUUGCCAGGAAGAAUGUAAGCUCUCGAACAUCUUCAAAUAAAGAAGUGGUUAUAAACAAUGAUCAACAGGAUAAUGAAAAUAUGAAGCCAGUACAGAAUGUCACAACACUGCCAAUCACACAGGCUCUCAACUACAAUCUGAGCAGACAAAGACUUUUAGAAAAAGAACCUUGGAAUGCAUUCAGCCAUCAUAGCCCAGUUAAUGUCUCCAUGGAUGGAAUUCCCUGCAUUCUUUUUUGGACCAAGAGGAUAACAAUUAAAUUUAAGAAUCAGACCUGGCUGGACCUUACAGAUGAAGCUUUUGGCCAGGAGGCAACAGUGGAUGCUGGCAACUCAAAUUGUAGUGAAGAAAAUGCCACGUUGUCUCUGAAGUUUGGUGAUGCUGAAAAUCCCAGAGGUCUUGAUAUAAGAUUCACCCUUACCAAUUACAACAAGUUCUCCAUCCAGAGCUGGUUUAGUUUGCACCGAGUUGAGAUUAUUUUCAAUAAUUCAGUUCAAGCAUCUUUUAAUGCAACUGGCAUAUAUGCAACGUCAAGUUACUCCUACCACUGCCACCGCGUCAGCAGCCUGCAGCGGUAUGACAGCCUUUUGUUGCCCAGUGACACCGAUAUGUCAAGCCUGUGGGAGGUCACUUUUGUUGAUUUCCAGAUCCAAGCCUUUACUAUUAAGGGGGGACAGUUUGCCAAGGCCCGAGACUGUGCCUCCUCCUUCUCGCCAGCCAUCCUGAUCGGCCUGGCAAUGUCUCUGAUCCUGCUGCUGGUGUUGGCGUACGCCCUGCAUAUGCUCACCUACCUGCGAUAUCUGGACCGGCACUACGAUUUCAUUGCCUCUCCAGCCCACUUCCCCCAUUUGAAAGCUGGAGAUGCAGCAGAUGAGAAGGAGCUGCUGAGGAGCCAAGGAGUUGAAUGCUAUGAACUGAGAAGCCAACAGAUCUGCAAAAUUUAUGUUUAAUAGCCCAGGUCUCUCUCCCCCAAGGAGUCCACAAUAGGCUCUAAAAGCAGUUGUUCAUAUUCUAUGCUGUUUGACUUGUGAGGGAAGUUUUUCUGCCAAGAGGCUUGAUUUUUACUUUAAAGGAAAUACAUGCAAAUAAUACAUUUUGGAGCAUCCAUUGGCCUUCCUAGAUAGACUUGGAGCAAUGAAAAAGGUGUUUCAGGAAUCCUGCAGAGAACUAAAUAAAUGUUCCAUGAAUUGAAGAUACUGAGGGAGGAUUCCAGGAAAAAGUGGAGAAGCUCCAGACCUGGGUGCUGUCGUGUGCCAACAAGGUGGACCCAAUGUAGCUGCAAAAGUUCUUAUUAGAAAAAGAGGGAGACAGGAGCGAUACAAUCAGAGUGGGAUGUGGAUGUAACAACAGUAGAGGUUGGAGUGAUACAGGAAGAACCAUGGACCAAAGAAUGCAGGUGACCUCUAGAAUUGGAAAAGGUAAGGAAAUAAAUUCUCUAGAGGCUCCAGAAGGAAAGUGGUCCUGUUGUCACUUUGAUUUGAGGACUUCUGACCUCCAGAACUAUAUAAGUUUGUGUUGUUGUGAACCAUUUAGUUUGUGGUGAUUUGUCACAAUGGCAACAGGAAAUCCUGAUGUGAAACCAGACCCAAAAGGAAAUGACAAAUGUUGGUGCAGAGUCUUCUCCUUCCUUGUGCCUUCCUCUUCCCCUUCCCACUCUCCAUCAUUCUCCACAACUGGCUCCAUGCAAACUAUUGAAAGGACAGAGUCAUUGCAAGACUGCUUCUUCCACCCCUUCAUGCCCUGUGUCCUUAUGUAAACCCCUAGAUACCUGAGGUUGCUUCUGAGUUAUCCCUUUGCCCCAUCAACAUUUUUCAUCAAGCCUUCAUUUUAAUUUUUCUCUCUGAUAGAAAAAUGACAAAUUGUUAACGAAUCCAUGACUUCUGCUUUCAAAUAUAUUUGAAACACAUUUAUGCUUUUAUAGUGGCUUCUUGCAGACUGUGUCUAAUCCACAGAAAGGGUUACUUUAAUAGUGAACAUUUCAGUAUGGUGGCAGACUAAUCCCAGGAAGUUUGGAGUCUCUCACAUCACAUCAGGUAAAUGUCAGUCUGUGCACAGGGCUUUUUCUUACUCCUUCCUGCUUAUUCCCAGUGUUCAUUAGUAUUUCUUGUUGUUGUAUUGGGAAAAUCAUAAUGUUUUCAAAGGUUUUUGUUGUUCAGGUACAAACGUGUCUGGAGUAUUAUUCGGGACCCACUGCUCAUUGAAGUAUCUAAGAUCUCUUAUCUUGUCUAGUUUAUUUUGCUCUCAGGUUCUGUUAGACAUGAUAGUAGGACAUUUUCUGCUGCUUCAUCCUCCGGGUCACUAAAAUUGUUGUGGCAGGUCUAUUUGGUACUGAUAGCCUGGAUGAGUAGAGUUUGUUAGUGGCUCUGGAAAGACAUGAGUCAUGCAAGAAUGGGAGAAAUUGUUAAGAAAGAUGCACUUCCAUCUUUCUAGCCAAGGAAUGUGAAUUGAAAUAAUGUACAAAGAGAUACUUUAAAAAUAUAUUUUGAUUGUCUUUUUGGCCACCUGCAGCAUAUGGAGUUCCCAGGCCAGGGAUCAGAUCCAAGCCGCAGUUGCAACCUAAGCUGCGGCUGUGACAAUGCUGGAUCCUUAACCUGCUGUGCCAGGCCAGGGAUUGAAACUGCAUCCUAGCAUUCCCAAGAUGCUGCCAAUCCUGUUGUACCACAUCAGGAACUCUUGAUUUUCUUUUUUUAUUCCAGCUUUAUUGAGUUAUAUCUGACAUAUAACAUUUUCUAAUUUUAAACUGUAGUGUUGAUUUGAUACACUUACAUGUUGCAAAAUUAUUACCACCACCAUUAGCUAACUCCUCCAUCAUGUCACAUAAUUACUAUAUUUUGUGACAAGAACAUUUAAGAGGCAAUCACCUAGCAAUUUUCAAAUACAUAAUACAGUAUUAUUAGUUAUACUAAACACAGACCUUAGGUCCCCAGAAAUUACUCAUCUUAUAACUGGAAGUUUAUAGUUAAAGAGAUACUUUUAAAUUGCCGUUGUCAAAAUGCACCAUCUCAUACCCUGACAGUGUUUACAAUGCUAGUCUUUGGAUAGACUCUUCUCUUAGACUAUUAAAACCAGCUGCCUCUGUUUUUCCAGCUUCUAAUCUCCAUUUUUGCAGCCAUCCCAGUCCACAGUUAUGCUUUGUGAGCCUGUGUCCUGGAUUUGAUCCUUUGUGUCCUAGACUUUGUAUAUUACAGAAGGAAACCAGUCAAGAAAUGGAAAAUAGCUUUUCUCCUGGCAUCUUAGAGCAGAGAUGAACUAAGCACUAUUCCACAUCUCUUUUGUGAAUAGACUCUACCCAAACCCUGGUGGCCACCUGUGGUGGGCUCGUUGCAAAAAUGGCCACUUUUAUAUCCCACUCUUUAUCUAUAUCCCUUGUGAUCUAACUGUGCAGUUGCUUCCCUUAAGAGGUGAGAUAUAUGUCUCCAGCAUUUGAAUCUGGGGUAUGCUGAUGAUUUGUUUUAGUCAAUGAAAUGCAGCAGCAGUGAUACUGGAUUGAUUCGGAGCCUAAGCAUACACCUGUUCGCCUGGAAACCUGCUCAGCUGCCAAGUAAAUAAUCAUGGGGCAAAGACUGCUAGAGGAUGAGAGACCACCUGGAAGAGAGAGAAGCCAUCUGAGCAGAGGCCAUCCUAGACUAGCCAGCACCAAGCUGACCCAGAAGCUGACCACAAAUGUCUAGUGAGCCUAACUGAGACCUGAAGAACUGCCAGGCUGAAAUCAGCCUAAUUGCCCACCUGCAAAAUCUUGGCUAAAAAUUGGUUAUUUUCAGCCUCUAUGUCUUGGAGCGGUUUGUUAUGCAGCCAGAGCUUACUGAUUUGUCAUCAAGGUUAGAAGCAUUUCCAAAUUAUGAUUUACAUCAAUCUCUGAGUAAUCACACCUGCCACAUAAGAGGAAUGAAAGAGCAAAAGAUGAACCAUAUAUGGAAGAGAAGAGAUAUAAAAGGAAGAAAAUAUAGUCAUGUUGCUCUUAGCCAGUUCUGAUUAUAAUCCAGUUUCAUCUCCCACUAAAUAAAUCACUUUACAAUUUAAUGAGCUUGUUUUCAAGACUCAGAAACUCCCCCACACUGGCUUAAGUAAGAAAAAUUGUCUCAGGGAUAUCUCAUCCAUCCCAAGGAUCUGGGAUCCCAAGACCCACCUAAAUCUUCAUGUGCAACUGUCUCUAGAACUGGAAUGUAGUCUAGAACCAAAUCUGCUUUCUCUGCCUUGUUUUUCCACCUCUUUCUCUUUGGUAUUAGAUUUCUCAUCACUUAUGUAUCUUUGCUUUACUUUUGCUCUCUUUGGUUCUCUGCUUGCACGUAGCUUCAUUGUGCCCAUUCCAAAAUAGCAGCCUCAGACUCAAGUCCUCAGGACGUCCUAGCUCACCUUUCAGUUUGGUCCACUGCAGUCCAGUCAGCUGCGUUUGAGCAGUGAUUGGCAGGGCCAAUAAAGAUACCCUUUUUUUUGGAUGUUGAACAUGUAUCUUUUGUGAGAACCAGAGGACUGCAUCAAUCUUCUUCUUUGUCUUCUUCUUCUUCUUCUUUUUUUCUCUUUCCUUUUUAUGGCUGCACCUUUGGAAUAUGUAAAUUUCCAGGCUAGGGGUCAGAUCAGAGCUGCAUCUGAGACCAAGGCCACAGCUAUAGCAACACCAGAUCCACCAAAUCUGAGCCUCAUCUAAGACCUACACUGUAGCUUGUGGCAACUCUGUAUCCUUAACUCACUGAGCAAGACCAGGGAUUGAAUAUGCAUCCUCACGGAGACUAUGUCGGGUUCUUAACUCUCUGAGCCACAGCAGGAACUCCUGCCUCAAUCUUCUUAAUCUCUGCUACUGACAGGAACCAUGUCUUACUUUUUGGAGCUUCUUCUUUUUCUUUUUGUUUUUUUUUUUCUAAAUACCAAGUUAUGAAUAGAUUUUUACUUUGUUUUCCACUGGAGGAUCAACUUAUGCAUCCUUCCACUGGAAGAAUGUAAGUAAGAAUGAUCUGCAAUUUCCUUUCCUAAUGAGGCUGGGACAGGGAUUGGAAAGUCUUUCUUAGCCCAGGGUCUCAUAUGCCUUUAGGAUGCUCCUGGUGUCCCAGGACUCAGGAGUUCCAGCCUCCCCUUCAUAUAAAACUAGUCCAUAACAUUCUAUUCAUCACCUGGGUCUGUCUUCCUUCCUUUUUUUUUUUAAUUUUGUUUUGUUUUGUUUUGUUUUGCAGUAGUCAAAAUCUGGAAGGCUGCUGAUUGAGACGCUCUGUAGUAGCAAUUAUAGUAAUAUGGAUUUUAUGGAAUAGAAGAUUUUCAAAAAUAAAUCUUGGUACUGACAUAUGGUUACCAGGUCUAUAUUUUGCACACAAAGCCAUUACAAGCUCCUCUAUCCAAUCAUCAUCAUUAAUGUUAGAUUGAAACCAAGGAAAUUGCCAUUUUUGUAGGUCAAAAAUAGCUGAAUAUUGGCAAUUUCCUAUGGUUCCACAUAAUAUGUUGAAGAUCCAGAGAACUAUAGGAAGGAUAUAAUCUUAUAAUGAAGGACUGGCCUUUCAUAAUGAAUUUAUUUAACUUUAUGAAAAUGCACUUUCCUUAAUUUUCUUAUUUCAUCAUGAGCCAUGAACUCUUUAUAAUGUUCUGGUACUAGUUUUUGAUGGGUCUUUAAAAAAAAAAAAAAAAAAAAAAAAAAAAACGCAGGUCUAGGGAAACAUCUGUGUGAUCUUCUCAGGGUCACUCUCAUUCCUAAGAAUGCCUCUGAGGCAGGGUUCUGGCCUUCCCUCGGUUCAAAGGGCAGUCAUCUUCUCUGGGGCCCUCUCAGGCUGUUGUUGGAUGAAUUGUUCGCUUGAACUAAAUUUGGGUUUUUUAGGGGACAUGUUUGUAGCACCCAAGUCAUUGUCCCAUUCCCUCUUACAAUGAACAAAGUCACAUUCACAAAUGGAGCUCCGGCAACCUCCCGUGGUACCUCAGUGAAAUAUGCAAACCAGUUUUUCGAGUUAAAGAUACUUCCCUUUGGAUUGUUCUUCUUGUACAACUUUUCUAUCAUCUCAGACAACACCCCCCCAUCACCCUCUAUUUCCGACCCAAGGGAUCUUCAUUUCUCUUACAAGCAAGAUCUAGACAGAUUGUAUAACAAACUGGCUCUGGUUAUUAAAAACAUCUUUUUAGCUCUUGGCACAAUAAGCAUAACCACUACUGAUGAAAAGAAGGUCUCUCCCAUAUGGUUCUCGAAGAAGUACAAUUUUCUGAAUUUACUGUACAUGUGAAAACAAUAAACAAUUUGCAUUUCUUUUUCUAGUAAUUCAAACUCUAACCUGAGGGUUUUUAAAGAACGGGUUUGGUAAUUUCUACAUUGUACCACUCUCUGAAAUAUUAUUGAUUCUCAGCAAAAUAACUAAGCCUUAGCCAAGUGUUUCAGUUUAUCUCUCUUUUUUUGUGAAUCUGUAAAUGCGUCAGAAAAACGUUUACUGUAAUGUUAGAACGUGCAUGUGUUGGCAUUAAAACUGUGGUUUUGUCCCUACGGGGAAUCAAAUGGAAGCAAAAUUACAGUUAAUUCCUGGUAUCUGCGGUAAUGGGGAACAGACUGAGUUUGUAGCAAUAAUAUCUGAAACAUUUAUUUUAGAAAUUAGGUUGAACCUUGUCCUAUACUGUACCUUCUGCCAGAGAUCCACAAGUAGUCAGGCUGCUCUUUUUCCUCCUUCCCCUGGUUCAGUCAGACUUUGGGUUAGAGAAAUGACCAGCAGGAAAGAAGGGGAGAGUCAAAAGACUUAGCAAUAUCGUGACUGUUAGAUUUUUCUCAACUUGUGGAUUACAGCUCUUUUGUGCGAAAAGGAAACCAUGCUGUAGUGAAAGAGCAGGACAAUCUUCUGCCUCCUUUAGUGAGGUAUCUUGUCUUUCCUUAUGAUUUAAGAGCUAAUCGUCCACCAAAAAUCAUGUUACCACCUUUCCAAAUUCAGUCUUCAGUUUGUAACUGGAAAAGGAAGCAAAAAGCUUUUAGAGCAUUCUGGAAACUCUUUGAAGCUAUUCUCUCAAAAAGAGAAGUUUUGAAAUACAGCUGAACAGGAGGGAAGAAUGCCAGCACAGAGCCUUCUACAUCUAGCCAGUAGCCUGCAAGAGAAAGGAUUUAUUUUGUCUGGUUCAGUCUCUGAUACUUUGGAAGAAAGAUGAUGUAUAAAUUCUAUGGCCUCAUGGCUCCCAUAAAGGUUUUCGAUAGACCAGAGGGGCAGGGGCACACGUAUUCUGGAUCUGGAAUGUUUCCUGAAUACAGAAAACUCACGCACUUGCAGAGACAAGAGUGCAUUGCAGUUGUGGUAUCCAGAUGUAAUGCUCCAAUGAUGUAAACUGCUUAUUUGUUCCGGAACAAUUAUUGUUAUCUGUUGAAGAAGACUUAGAAAAUGACGUCCAGUUUUAAAGGUCCUGGAGAGUUUUGUAACUUUCUGCUACUCACAGAGGUAAUCUUUACAUAAUUCUGCAAAAGCUUUAUGUAUAUUAUAUUUUGUAUAUAUUAUAUAUUAUAAAUAAAUGUAUAGUUGUGUAUAAAAUUUGUAUAAUUAUGAUAUGUAUAUAUGAUUAUGAUAUGGCCGGAAUAGGGAAAACCUUAAAUAAAUAUAUUAGAAACUCAAAAUAC